ensembl:snoRNA SNORA75 Small nucleolar RNA SNORA75
GGCAAUUAACACCACUACAGAUUGGUGGCAGUUUAUGGAUUUGCACAAGAAGAGAGAACUCAGAGAACUAGCACUAUUUUACGCUCUGUCUUUACAGAAAAAAAAAUGGCUGUUUUGUCAGACAUUC